GAUGAAGAACGUAGCGAAAUGCGAUAAGUAGUGUGAAUUGCAGAAUUCAGUGAAUCAUCGAAUCUUUGAACGCACAUUGCGCCCCUUGGUAUUCCAUGGGGCAUGCCUGUUCGAGCGUCAUCUACACCCUCAAGCUCUGCUUGGUGUUGGGCGUCUGUCCCGCCCCCGCGCGUGGACUCGCCCCAAAUCCAUUGGCAGCGUUCCUUGCCCCCUCUCGCGCAGCACAUUGCGCUUCUCGAGGGCGGCUCCGGGACGCGAUCCAGCAAGAUGACCACCGUCUUUGACCUCGGAUCAGGUAGGGAUACCCGCUGAACUUAAGCAUAUCGAUAAGCGGAGGA
rnacentral:misc_RNA from 1 species